AUGCAAAGAACUUUGAAAAGAGAGUUAAAGAGUACCUGAAAUUGCUGAAAGGGAAGCAAAGGAAACCAGUGCUAUUUCGUACCAUUCUUCCUGUACUGCUUGCAGUAUGGGCGCUGUGGUGCGGAGUGUGCCAGCAUGGGUUUGGCUUGGGACAAAUCGCUAUGCAGGAGGCAGUCCAAUUUCUGGACGAUUACUGUGUGGUGCUGUUCUAGGCUGGACUGAGGCUAGUCAUGUGCUCGUGAUGCUGGCGAAAUGGUUUUCUUUACCCCGUCUUGAAACACGGACCAAGGAGUCUAACAUAUGUGCGAGUGUAGGGGUGGCAAACUCCAACGCGUAAUGAAAGUAACAGUGGUAGGACCUUAUGGGGCACUAUCCGCCGGCCACAAUCCUUCGGGAGAAAGGUCUGAGUGUGAGCAUACAUGUUGGGACCCGAAAGAUGGUGAACUUUGCGUGGGUAGGGUGAAGCCACGGGAAACCGUGGUGGAGGCUCGUAGCGAUUCUGACGUGCAAAUCGAUCGUCAAAUCUGCGUAAAGGGGCGAAAGACUAAUCGAACCAUCUAGUAGCUGGUUCCCUCCGAAAUUUCCCUCAGGAUAGCUGCAAUCAAUUGUCAAUUUUAUCA
rnacentral:rRNA from 1 species